rnacentral:rRNA from 1 species
AGGCGAGGCCGAAAGGCGUAGUCGAUGGGAAACGGGUUAAUAUUCCCGUACUUGGUGUUACUGCGAAGGGGGGACGGAGAAGGCUAUGUUGGCCGGGCGACGGUUGUCCCGGUUUAAGCGUGUAGGUGUGUGUUCCAGGUAAAUCCGGUUCACUUUAACACUGAGGCGUGACGACGAGGCACUACGGUGCUGAAGCAACAAAUGCCCUGCUUCCAGGAAAAGCCUCUAAGCAUCAGGUAACAUCAAAUCGUACCCCAAACCGACACAGGUGGUCAGGUAGAGAAUACCAAGGCGCUUGAGAGAACUCGGGUGAAGGAACUAGGCAAAAUGGUGCCGUAACUUCGGGAGAAGGCACGCUGACAC